rnacentral:lncRNA from 1 species
CUUGUAAUCCUCUAAAGAAUAUACUGGCAAUAUCUCUUGAAAGAUAGUGAUCUUUCACGCCUCAAGUUAUUCUUCUCUUUUAAUCUUCUGUAAUUUCCUAACACAUGCGUAGUUUUUUGUUCGCUCAGCCUGAUUUCUGCUGACUUUUCUUGUUUGUCAACCAGGAGAUGGACCCCGAUAAUAUAAAAUAGAACCUUCUUGCUUUGAGGCAAUUGUAUGGUCUUUUGACAAAUG